GGGCGGGCGGCCAGGCUGGCCUAGGCCAAAGCUCCUCACCUGGCGGUGGCGGUGUAACUCCCGGCUAGCUCGCCUCCCCAGGCGGCGGCGGCGGCGUCGAAAAAGGAAGAGGCUACGGCACAUCCAGGGCACUCUCUGCUGUCUGAAGGGCCAUUCUUCAAGGGCUGCAAGGAUAUGAGAAACACAGUGGUGGAAGAUACUAGCCUGAGGAAGAUACUAGUGAGGCCUGAGAAAAUGCCUUUCAGCAAAAUUAAAAUCAGGCCGUGGAGGGGGAACUUUCAAUCUGGAGCGAUCAAGCUCCAAGACAGACAGCUCCUUUAGGACACUGCUCAAGUUAGGAUGGGGACGCAUCCUCUGGCUUGAAGGUCCCAGAAUUCAGGAGUAGUAUGGCUCUCUUCAUCCACCGAUAUCCACCCCCAGGAAUUUGCGCUAGAGGCUCAUGAAAGAAAGGGAGAACUCCGAGUGGACCAAAAGGAUUAGAAAAAUGAUGCCUGGAUGCCUGGCGCCCACACGCAGCAAGUAUAGUUGAUCCACUCUGAGAACGCCCAGUGCCAGCCACUAGGCCAGCCCUAGCUCUCCACGCCUAUCCCUCUGCCCGUGUCACCAGCCCCUACCCACCUGUCUGGGAGCCGCCUGCCUCUUGUGCUGCCGUCUCUGCCUCCUCCUCCUGCUUCUGACGCUGCCACCGCUGCCGCCGUUCUCUCAAGGGCUGGCGGAACUGAGCAGCCCCCAGGACCACGUUCCGGAGCUUGGCCCAGCGCAGGCGCCCACCCGGUGUACCAGACGGCCACUUGCCUUCCAGCACGGCCUGCCAAGCACAGUGCCCGUGAAGAUGGCCUACUUCCAUACCCUGGCCUCAGCCUGACGCCAACUGCCUGACCUGGAGCCCCAGGGACCACCUUCUCCUCCAGACAUCCUGCCUAGGACUGUCCUGCCAAUGGCUCAGCCGGGAGCAAGAGCCCAGAAGAGACAGUUGGCAGCUGCCACCCUGAGGGGUUCUAGAGGAAGCCAGAAGCAGUGGAGACAACCUGGAUCCAGACUCUGCUGUUUAUAAACUAUGGGCUUUGAAGAAAUCGGUUCAUUUUUUGGGUCAUUAGUUUCCUCAUCUAAAAAACAGGAAAUAUAGGUUAGUAUCAUGGUUAAGGGCCUGAAUUCAGGAAACAUCGGCGUGCCUGUGUGCAUUUCCUAACUCCCUAACUUACUCACUGUGGUACCUCGGACAAGUUACUAAGCCCCUGCAACCUCAUGGCCUCAUCUGUAAGAUGGGGACAAUAAUCAUUCCACUUCAUGGGGCUGUGGUAAAGA